GCAGUAGCCGCGGUAACACGGAGGGUGCAAGCGUUAUCCGGAUUUAUUGGGUUUAAAGGGUCCGUAGGCGGAUCUGUAAGUCAGUGGUGAAAUCUCACAGCUUAACUGUGAAACUGCCAUUGAUACUGCAGGUAUUGAGUAAAUUUGAAGUGGCUGGAAUAAGUAGUGUAGCGGUGAAAUGCAUAGAUAUUACUUAGAACACCAAUUGCGAAGGCAGGUCACUAAGAUUUAACUGACGCUGAUGGACGAAAGCGUGGGGAGCGAACAGGAUUAGAUACCCCCGUAGUCCCUGUCUCUUAUAA
rnacentral:rRNA from 1 species